GGCAGAAGGGACGUCCCCAAAUGACACUCGGAGGCCGCCUCCCUGGGCUCCGGUGCUCGGUGCCGGGAGGAGCGGCACGGCUUUCUACCCCGCCUCAGGUGCGCCAGCACGUUUUCUGGGCAGCAUCUGUGUGUUAGGCGACCGGAGAGGUGGGUUCCUUAUAGGGAAUAAGAAAACUGAAACUGACUUCCAACUGCAGGCAGAAGGAAGCAGUGGUCAUUGCUGGAGGUUAAAACUGUUCUGACCGGGCGCAGUGGCUCACGCCUGUAUUCCCAGCACUUUGGGAGGCUGAGGCGAGCAGAUCACGAAGUCAGGAGAUCAAGACCAUCCUGGCCAACAAGGUGAAACCCCGGCUCUACUAAAAAUACAAAAAUUAGCUGGGCGUGGUGGCGCGCGCCGGAAGUCCCAGCUACUUGGGAGGAUGAGGCAGAAGAAUCGCUUGAACCCGGGAGGCGGAGGUUGCGGUGAGCCGAGAUCGCGCCAUUGCACUCCAGCCUGGCGACUCAGCGAUACUCCGUCCCCCUCUCCCCGCCCCAAGAAAAAUCUGUUCAGUGGGGAGCGACAAGGAAGGAGCUUUCAGCCCGACUGGGGUCGCAGGGAAGAAUUCAAGAUGGCGUGUUUAGGAGCUCUAGCUCCUUGACAAAUUAGUAAAAUGUUAGUCUUAGGAGAAGAACGAAAAGGCUCUCCUAGGCUAAGAAACAGCAUACACAGUGAGAAACCUCAGAAGAAAUAAAAUUCAAGGAAGAUAGCAACAACGAAAACAUCAGAAGGAACACUAAAGUAGUCAAAUCAGCCUAGCAGAAACAAAGUACGUUAACCAAUGGAAAACUGACGGAGAGAAAUAAACUGUUUUUGCACAGCUAAAUGGAAAUGACUUUUGAAUUAUCUGCUUUGGAAGAUUAUCCAUGACACUGUUCUGCCCUGCUCUGCUCUAACAACAUUUGCUGGUGC
rnacentral:lncRNA from 1 species